GAAAGGUUUCUGAAAACAUUUUCGUGAGUUUAAUUAAGCAAGUUGAAAAAGGAUUAAAAAAAUGGAGAGAAAAACUUUUGGGCUUAUCUUCCUGCUUCUCAUUGUGUUUGCCUCACAAAUGGCAAUCCCGCAAGUGGAGGGAAGAGUGUGCAUCUCACAAAGCCAGGGCUACCGCGGUCCAUGCGUCCAUGACCACAACUGUGCUCUCGUUUGCCGCAAUGAAGGCUUCUCCGGCGGAGAUUGCAUUGGCUGGCGACGGAGGUGUUUCUGCACCAAGCUUUGCUAAUUGGAUCUAUCUUUGCCAGCCACAAUUUGAUGUCAUAAGUCAAUUGGCUAUCUUUAGUUAUUGUCCUUUUCUGUUAUUGUUUUCCAUUAGGGACUAAAUUUUACCCUUCGUAGAAUGAGAGCAUCUAUGAUGCUUUUCUACCCUUUCUUAUUUAGUUUGUGAAAAACUCUUUUAUAACGGUUCUUAUUUUACGGCAAUUCGUAUUCUGUGUGUUCCUAAAAUUUAAACUUACUAAAUGUCAAAGAUAUGUUGUUUGAUCCCAA